rnacentral:rRNA from 1 species
CCUACGGGUGGCUGCAGUGAGGAAUAUUGGUCAAUGGGCGCAAGCCUGAACCAGCCAAGUCGCGUGAGGGAUGAAGGUUCUAUGGAUCGUAAACCUCUUUUAUAAGGGAAUAAAGUGUGGGACGUGUCCUAUUUUGUAUGUACCUUAUGAAUAAGGAUCGGCUAACUCCGUGCCAGCAGCCGCGGUAAUACGGAGGGUACGAGCGUUAUCCGGAUUUAUUGGGUUUAAAGGGUGCGUAGGCGGGCUGUUAAGUCAGCGGUGAAAGUUUGUGGCUCAACCAUAGAAUUGCCGUUGAAACUGGGGGUCUUGAGUAUGUUUGAGGUAGGCGGAAUGCGUGGUGUAGCGGUGAAAUGCUUAGAUAUCACGCAGAACUCCGAUUGCGAAGGCAGCUUACCAAGCCAUGACUGACGCUGAGGCACGAAAGCGUGGGGAUCAAACAGGAUUAGAUACCCUAGUAGUC